GUGAAAUUGUUGAAAGGGAAGCGCUUGCAACCAGACCUGCCUGCAGUUGCUCAUCCGGGCUUUUGCCCGGUGCACUCUUCUGCUGUCAGGCCAGCAUCAGUUCGGGCGGUCGGAUAAAGGCUUCGGGAAUGUAGCUCCUCUCGAGGAGUGUUAUAGCCCGUUGCGAAAUGCGGCCAGCCUGAACUGAGGUCCGCGCUUCGGCUAGGAUGCUGGCGUAAUGGUUGUAAGCGGCCCGUCUUGAAACACGGACCAAGGAGUCUAACAUCUGUGCGAGUGUUUGGGUGUCAAACCCGUACGCGUAAUGAAAGUGAACGGAGGCGGGAACCCCUCGGGGUGCACCGUCGACCGAUCCUGAUGUCUUCGGAUGGAUUUGAGUAAGAGCAUAGCUGUUGGGACCCGAAAGAUGGUGAACUAUGCCUGAAUAGGGUGAAGCCAGAGGAAACUCUGGUGGAGGCUCGCAGCGGUUCUGACGUGCAAAUCGAUCGUCAAAUUUGGGCAUAGGGGCGAAAGACUAAUCGAACUAUCUAGUAGCUGGUUCCUGCCGAAGUUUCCCUCAGGAUAGCAGUAACGUUUUCAGUUUUAUGAGGUAAAGCGAAUGAUUAGAGGCCUGGGAGUUGAAACAACCUUCACCUAUUCUCAAACUUUAAAUAUGUAAGAAGUCCUUGUUGCUUAGUUGAACGUGGACAUUUGAAUGUAUCGUUACUAGUGGGCCAUUUUUGGUAAGCAGAACUGGCGAUGCGGGAUGAACCGAACGCGGAGUUAAGGU
rnacentral:rRNA from 1 species